rnacentral:rRNA from 1 species
UCGAGAGGCUUCCACAAUGGGGGAAACCCUGAUGGAGCGACGCCGCGUGGGUGAUGAAGGUCUUCGGAUCGUAAAACCCUUUCAGCAAGGAAGAAUGUACGGGUGAUAAUACCACUCGAUGCAAGACGGUACUUGCAGAAGAAGCUCCGGCUAACUCCGUGCCAGCAGCCGCGGUAAGACGGAGGGAGCAAGCGUUGUUCGGAUUUACUGGGCGUAAAGGGCGUCUAGGCGGGUUAGUCAGUCAGAUGUGAAACCCCCCGGCUCAACCGGGGACCGGCAUUUGAUACUACUAAUCUUGAGUACGGAAGAGGAAAGCGGAAUUCCUGGUGUAGCGGUGAAAUGCGUAGAUAUCAGGAAGAACACCGGUGGCGAAGGCGGCUUUCCGGUCCGAUACUGACGCUAAAGCGCGAAAGUGUGGGGAGCAAACAGGAUUAGAUACCCUGGUAGUCCACACUGUAAACGAUGGAUACUAGGUGUCGGGGGUAUCGACCCCCCCGGUGCCGCAGCUAACGCAUUAAGUAUCCCGCCUGGGGAGUACGGUCGCAAGGCUG